GCAGCAGGUCGGUUUGUCGCUCUCCCACGCGGGAGGGAGGAAAGUCCGGGCAACAGAGAGCACCAUACUUCCUAACGGGAAGCUGUUCGCGAGAGCAGACAAGCGUAACAGAAAACGACCGCCCCGGUCCGCCGGGGUAAGGGUGAAAAGGUGAGGUAAGAGCCCACCGGGUAUCGUGGCAACACGGUAUGCCGUACGCGUUAUGGGUUGCAAGGCCAUGUAUAUCGGAUAUGUAGGGUUGCUCGCCCGACGCCGAGGGGUAGGCCGCUAAAGGAGGAUGGUGACAUCGCUCCGUAGAUAAAUGACAAACGCCCGAGUGAUCGGGAUACAGAACCCGGCUUACAGACUGGCUGCUUUU
rnacentral:RNase_P_RNA from 1 species